rnacentral:rRNA from 1 species
CCUACGGGGGGCUGCAGUGGGGAAUAUUGGACAAUGGGGGCAACCCUGAUCCAGCCAUGCCGCGUGUGUGAAGAAGGCCCUCGGGUUGUAAAGCACUUUCAGUGAGGAAGAACGCCUGGUGGUUAAUACCCAUCAGGAAAGACAUCACUCACAGAAGAAGCACCGGCUAACUCCGUGCCAGCAGCCGCGGUAAUACGGAGGGUGCGAGCGUUAAUCGGAAUUACUGGGCGUAAAGCGCGCGUAGGUGGCUUGAUAAGCCGGUUGUGAAAGCCCCGGGCUCAACCUGGGAACGACAUCCGGAACUGUCAAGCUAGAGUGCAGGAGAGGAAGGUAGAAUUCCCGGUGUAGCGGUGAAAUGCGUAGAGAUCGGGAGGAAUACCAGUGGCGAAGGCGGCCUUCUGGACUGACACUGACACUGAGGUGCGAAAGCGUGGGUAGCAAACAGGAUUAGAUACCCCGGUAGUC